AUCCCGGAUAUCUGCUCUCUGC
rnacentral:siRNA from 1 species